rnacentral:siRNA from 1 species
AAGGUGAAACCAACAGACGAGAGA